rnacentral:rRNA from 1 species
AUUGAACGCUGGCGGCAGGCCUAACAAAUGCAAGUCGAACGAGUGGCGGACGGGUGAGUAAUGUCUGGGAAACUGCCCGAUGGAGGGGGAUAACUACUGGAAACGGUAGAUAAUACCGCAUACCAUCGGAGGUGCCCAGAUGGGAUUAGCUAGUAGGUGGGGUAACGGCUCACCUGGGCGAAGAUCACUUGCAGGUCUGAGAGGAUGACCAGACACACGGGAACGGAGACACGGUCCAGCCGCCUACGGGAGGCAGCAGUGGGGAAUAGUGCACAAUGGGCGCAAGCCUGAUGCAGCCAUGCCGCGUGUAUGAAGAAGGCCUUCGGGUUGUAAAGUACUUUCAGCGAGGAGGCGUUACUCGCAGAAGAAGCACCGGCUAACUCCGUGCCAGCCGCCGCGGUAAUUC